rnacentral:rRNA from 1 species
AACGAACGCUGGCGGCAUGCCUAACACAUGCAAGUCGAACGAGACCUUCGGGUCUAGUGGCGCACGGGUGCGUAACGCGUGGGAACCUGCCCUUAGGUUCGGAAUAACUCCCCGAAAGGGGUGCUAAUACCGGAUAAUGUCUUCGGACCAAAGAUUUAUCGCCUUUGGAUGGGCCCGCGUUGGAUUAGCUAGUUGGUAGGGUAAAAGCCUACCAAGGCGACGAUCCAUAGCUGGUCUGAGAGGAUGAUCAGCCACACUGGGACUGAGACACGGCCCAGACUCCGCGGGGGGGGAGCAGGGGGGAAUGUUGGAAAAGGGGCGAAGGCCUGAUCCAGAAGUGCCGGGGGGGGAAUAAGGGCCUGGGGGUGAAAAUGCUUUUUUCCCCGGAAGGAUAAGGAAAGUACCGGAAAAAUAAGCCCCGGCUAACUCCGUG